rnacentral:tRNA from 1 species
GGGGCCAUGGCUCAGCGGUACAGCCUCUGUUUUGCAUGCAGAUGGUCCCAGGUUCAAUCCUGUGGCACCU